rnacentral:rRNA from 1 species
AACGAACGCUGGCGGCAGGCCUAACACAUGCAAGUCGAACGCUCCAGCAAUGGAGAGUGGCAGACGGGUGAGUAACACGUGGGAACCUUCCCUUUGGUUCGGAAUAGCCCAGGGAAACUUGGGGUAAUACCGGAUAAGCCCUUGCGGGGAAAGAUUUAUCGCCGAAGGAUGGGCCCGCGUCGGAUUAGCUAGUUGGUGGGGUAACGGCCUACCAAGGCGACGAUCCGUAGCUGGUCUGAGAGGAUGAUCAGCCACACUGGGACUGAGACACGGCCCAGACUCCUACGGGAGGCAGCAGUGGGGAAUAUUGGACAAUGGGCGCAAGCCUGAUCCAGCCAUGCCGCGUGAGUGACGAAGGCCUUAGGGUUGUAAAGCUCUUUUGGCGGGGAAGAUAAUGACGGUACCCGCAGAAUAAGCUCCGGCUAACUUCGUGCCAGCAGCCGCCGUAAAAC